AUUUCUUGUAUGAUCACCGAAGUUAAGCAACGACGAGCCUGGACAGUACCUAGAUGGGUGACCGCUUGGGAAUGCCAGGUGCUGUAAG